rnacentral:rRNA from 1 species
GAUGAACGCUGGCGGCGUGCCUAAUACAUGCAAGUCGAGCGAACGGACGAGAAGCUUGCUCCUCUGAUGUUAGCGGCGGACGGGUGAGUAAUACGUGGAUAACCUACCUAUAAGACUGGGAUAACUUCGGGAAACCGUAGCUAAUACCGGAUAAUAUUUUGAACCGCAUGGUUCAAUAGGGAAAGACGGUCUUGCUGUCACUUAGAGAUGAAUCCGCGCCGCAUUAUCUAGUUGGUAAUGUAACGGCUUACCAAGGCAACGAUGCAUAGCCGAGCUGAGAGGGGGAUCGGCGACCCUGGAACUUGGCCGCGGUCCCUACGACUACGGGAGGCAGCAGUAGGGAAUCUUACGCAAUGGGCGAAAGCCUGACGGAGCAACGCCGCGUGAGUUAUGAAGGUCUUCGGAUCGUAAAACUCUGUUAUUAGUGAAGAACAUCUGUGUAAGUAACUGUGCCCAUCUUGACGGUACCUACUCAGAAAGCGCCGGCUAACUACGUG